CCUACGUGAGGCAGCAGUGAGGAAUCUUGGUCAAUGGGCGCGAGCCUGAACCAGCCAAGUAGCGUGAAGGAUGACUGCCCUACGGGUUGUAAACUUCUUUUAUAAAGGAAUAAAGUGAGGCACGUGUGCCUUUUUGUAUGUACUUUAUGAAUAAGGAUCGGCUAACUCCGUGCCAGCAGCCGCGGUAAUACGGAGGAUCCGAGCGUUAUCCGGAUUUAUUGGGUUUAAAGGGAGCGUAGAUGGGUUGUUAAGUCAGUUGUGAAAGUUUGCGGCUCAACCGUAAAAUUGCAAUUGAUACUGGCAGUCUUGAGUACAGUUGAGGUAGGCGGAAUUCGUGGUGUAGCGGUGAAAUGCUUAGAUAUCACGAAGAACUCCGAUUGCGAAGGCAGCUUACUAAACUGCCACUGACAUUGAUGCUCGAAAGUGUGGGUAUCAAACAGGAUUAGAUACCCUUGUAGUC
rnacentral:rRNA from 1 species